ensembl:lncRNA
AGAAGAAGCAGCUUCGGCUCCUGUGUUGUUUCAUCUUUUAGAGAAAACAUUUCACCUCAUGCUGCAAGAAUGGCUUCAGUUCAGGCUUUGAGAGAGUUUAUCAGCGAGAGGCUGAAUGCUGCUGCUGUGGAAAUCUUCACCGUGUUUGAACAGACUAUCGUUCGGUACGAGGAGAAGAUUGAAAGUCAGCACAGAUUGCUUCAAAUCAACUGGAAUCCUCAAAUCAAGUUACACAGAGCAGAGCUUCCACAGCAAAAUGCCUGCAGGAAGGAGCAGCGCUUUCAGCAGGAAACAAACUACACUCUGGAGAGGGAAGAACCAGAACCUCCACAGAUCAGAGAGGAACAAGAAGAACCAGGAGUUCUACAGUUUACAGCGGAUCAAGAGGAACCAGAAUCUUUACAGAUCAAAGAGGAACCAGAAGAGCCAGGACUCCUACAGUUUAGAGAGGAACAGGAGGAAUUGAAUCUUUCACAGAUUGAAGAACUCAGUGACAACCAGGAGGGAGAGUGGCUCAUGUGGAAGUUUGAAAGUGAUAAAUUUAGUGUGCCUACUGUUACGGAGCAAAGUGACAUUACUGAGCCAGUUGAAGCACCGAACACUGAGCAGUUCCUGUCACACCACUCUGAUUUCCAUCUGAAAAAACAUAUAGACUCAGAAUCAACUGUGAAUGCAGAGCUGGAAGAAAGCAGCACAUUUCAUAGUGACCAUAUGGAAAACAUUCCUGUGUCAGAGAAACAGGCUGAAGGUGAUUCGUUUCCCUGUGAGGAAACAUGUGGUGAAAAUGUUGGCAAAAAACAAGAAAACUUAUGUCAGAAUUUGAGAAGACCUCAUCACAACAUCAAUACUUCCUCAGGAGAGCACAGAGUCAACGAGCACAACACGGCAACGCGCAAUAUGAAGAAAUGCCGGGCCUGCCACGAGAAAAUCCAUGUGGCCUAUAAGAAAUGUCCGAAGUGCAAGGCUGCGCAGCCGCACAAAGAAAGACUCCUGAAAGCAAGAAAAAGAUUUGAAGAAAAAGAAAUCGAAUGGAAAGACAAAGUCAAGAUGAAUCACAAUGCUACACACGUGCUGGACUCCUGCUUCUUAAUGCUGGACCGAAUUGCUGCUCUUGGUCACUUUCCUAUUUUGCUCCUGGGAAAGAAAAAGAAGACGACAUACACUACUGAUAUCAUCACGAGCUUAAAGAUGAAGCUGGAUGACGGCUUGCAGGCGAGCAUAAAAAGCAUGUAUGCACGAGUGUUACAGCUGCAUUUCAGCAGGUUUCCUCAGCCAACCCAGCCUCCUCAGCCAACGGCAGGCAAAAGCAGAGAGGAGGGCAGGACUGAUCACGGUCCAACUGAAGAAAGAUUGGUGGUGCUGGAUCUGUGUCCUGUGCCUCCAAAUGCUCCAGAUGUGUUUGAUGAGGGGACUGGCGACGCAGAGGGACUGGCAGAUCAUGGUACUUACUCAUUUUGA